GUAGUAUUUGGAUAGGAUGUUAUCAUCGCAGGAACUGAAAAAGCAAAAGGGACACAACUUGUUCAGCAAAGCAGGGUUCUUGAUUUUCCCUGGCAAAACACUCAGGUAAACCAUGCUUCAAGAGAUAUUUCUUCAAAAUGAAAUUUAUUCAAGAAACUGCUGCAUGAGAAUCUCGAGCAAAAUAAAGGAAAGGCACCAGAAAAAUGAAACUUGAGUAAGUGAGCCCUCAGCAGAAAUUGCCAUGCCGUUUCAUAUCCACGGCACGUUGCUCUUCCAACCCUGUUGAGGGCUAUGGCCUAUGUCCCUUAGCACACCCAGAAUGAUUGAUAUGGGUUGGCUGUGUCCCCACCCAAAUCUCAUCUGGAAUUGUAUGCCCAUAAUUCAUUCCCAUGUUUCAUGGGAGGAACCUGGUGGGGGGUAAUUGAGUCAUGGAGGCGGAUCUUUCCCAUGCUGUUCUCAUGAUAGUGAGUAAGUCUUAUGAGAUCUGAUGGUUUUAAAAAUGGGAUUUUCUCUGCACAAGUGCUCUCUCUUUGCCUGCUGCCAACCAUGUAGGAUGUGACUUGCUCCUCCUCGCCUUCCAUCAUGGUCAUGAGGCCUCCCCAGCCACAUGGAACUGUAAGUCCAUUAAACCUCUUUCUUUUGUAAACAGCCCAGUCUCAGGCAUGUCUGUAUCAGCAGCAUGAAAACGGACUAAUACAAUGAUGUUACUGGUUUCUAACUAUCAUUAUAAACAAUGGGGAUAAAACUUCCACUUUUAGUCAACUUUAGGUGAAUCCCUUGUUGCUGCUAACCAGUCCUUGUAACCACUUUUCACAAUGCCCAUCUCCCACAGUUGUUAUAAACCUUGCAAACCUUUAUCAGUCACUGGAGACCUCAAACCUGUCCUUCUUCCAUAACUUAUAGCAGAGAAUCUCGUCUCCAAUUUACUGAGAAAAGGGAACCCUUUAUUUGUGAAGCUUCUCAAGUUUCCUUUUCCCACAUCAAAAUUAAAAGAAGUCUAAUACAUAGACUUCUUUUCUUGGCAAUAGAUGACAAAAGAUCCCACCCCAAUUCCACAAGCCACUUAUAAAUUGUAGACUGCAUAUGACAAACACCUUUUAAAAUGCAUACUAAGCUUAUCAGAAAGUGAGAGAAAAACCAGAGACCAAACACAAAAGCUGAUAGUGAAAAGCCAGAGGUAAUAUAUAAUGGCGGUGCUUUGACUACCUGAGAGGCAUGACAUUAAAUAUGAGACCUCCAAAGCCAGGCUCCUCAAAGGGUUCUAUCUUGACAGAAAGUAUAUAACCAAAAUAAUAAUAACAAUAAAUAAAAAUCCACAAAGGCAAAGAGAGAAGAAAGCUGCCUCAGCUUGUGUUAUAUAUGUAGAAAAACAAUCUCUCCCCUGAGAAUUUAUAAAACUGGCCUGACUCUACAUAGGUCUGUAGUCAAAUUCAUGCUAAAGCUUUAACAUGAAGGUGACCGUAAUUUGAUAAUGGCCUGAGGAGCCUAGCAAAAGCUAACAUACUCUAGAAGAAUGUGUCCUCUGUCCAGGCCCACUGAAAUGCACCCAGAUAAAGCCCUGCUGGCCGUGAGCUCACAAACUGAAACUAAAGAACACAUGAGAAAACUAACACCAUGAUUGAGAACCAGCCUCCCAGGACUUCAGAUGAUACAGUUGUCAGAUACAGACUGCAAAAUAACUAUGCAAGAAUGUUUAAAGAUAUUUUAAAAAUAUGAUAAAGGAACAAGAUGUUAACAAAAAGGACUAGAAAGGUUUGAAAAUUCAUCAAAACAUAACAACCUUUUUAUUUGCUUUUUAUCUCAUUUCCCCAAUCACAGGAAGAAGCUCCCUUCCCCCAUUUCUGAGGUCAAGCUCAGACUACGUACUUGAUUGCUUGCCUCGUAAGACUUCCAAGUUCUGGAGGCUGGAAUUCCAAAAUCAAGUCGACAACAGAGCCAUGCUCCCUCUAAGAGCUCUAGAGGAAGACCCUUCCUUGCCUCUUCCAGCUUCUGGUGGCCCCAGGCAUUCCUUGGCUUGUGGCGGCAAAACUUCAGCUUCUGCCUUAUCUUCACAUAAUUUACAUUCUUCUUUGAAUGUUUCUGUGUCUUUUCACAUGGACUUCUUAUGAGGAUACCAGUCACUGGAUUUAGGACCUACCCUAAUGCAGAGAGAUUCCUAGAAGUGGAACUACUGGGUUAUAUGGCAAUUUCAUGUUUAACAUUUUGAGAAACUGCCACACUGUUUGACCAAGUGGCAGCACCAUUUUGCACUCUUGUGGCCGGAGAUUGGAGAGAGAAGAGGGAAUAAGAGGAGGUGUUAAGAUUCAGCAUUUAUGGUGAGGGAACAAGAACAUUCCCUUUCAACCAUUUGAGUUCAACAAUUUAAGUUCAACCAUUUGAAUUCAACAGGGGAACUCAAAGAGUAGAGAUUGGGUGCACCUAUAAAAAGGUGAGCUGGCAUGUUCCUCGACAGCUGGAGGCUUACUGGCUGUAGAAACCCCAGGCUCACCAUGGAUCUGCCAUCACAGAGGAACUGAAGGUGGUGGCACUUUCUGUUUGGCCUCAAUCCACUAAUCAAGAUUUUUUCUCAUACGGGAAAGAGGCUAACUCAAGAUAAUUAGAGAUCUCAAAGCCAACAAAAGUAACCUAAAUUACAAAACUGUGAAUAAAUAAAUUACAGGCCUAUGAACAAGAAAAUAUUUACUCCUCAUUCUUUCUCUCACGACUGGGGAAUGUGAAUCAGAAACCAUGACACCCACAUAUAAUUUAGCUUUGAAAGGUGACCCCUGUCCACUACCAUCAACCCCCACGCCCCAAUUCCUGAUGAGUGUCCUGAUUCCUGCAACACCCUCAUCCUUAGAAUAAAAUAUAGAAACUCUUGUUGCAAAAC
rnacentral:lncRNA from 1 species